rnacentral:pre_miRNA from 1 species
CUAGUACUCCCUCCGUCCGAAAAUACUUGUCAUCAAAAUGGACAAAAAAGAUGUAUCUAGAACUAAAAUACAUCUAGAUACAUCCCUUUUUAUUCAUUUUGAUGACAAGUAUUUCCGGACGGAGAGAAUAUUCU